GACGAACACAAACAAGAGGAAAG
rnacentral:piRNA from 1 species